UACAGAGGUCUCAAGCGUUGUUCGGAUUCAUUGGGCGUAAAGGGUGCGUAGGCGGUCGGGUAAGUCGGAUGUGAAAUCCCGGGGCUCAACCCCGGAACUGCAUUCGAUACUGCCUUGCUUGAGCACUGGAGAGGAGACUGGAAUUUACGGUGUAGCAGUGAAAUGCGUAGAUAUCGUAAGGAAGACCAGUGGCGAAGGCGAGUCUCUGGACAGUUGCUGACGCUGAGGCACGAAGGCCAGGGGAGCAAACGGG
rnacentral:rRNA from 1 species